rnacentral:tRNA from 1 species
GGUCAUGGCUCGGUGGUAGAGUUCUUGCCUAGCAUGCAUGAGGCACUGGGUUUGAUCCUCAGCACCA